rnacentral:rRNA from 1 species
GACGAACGCUGGCGGCGUGCUUAACACAUGCAAGUCGAACGAAGAGCGAUGGAAGCUUGCUUCCAUCAAUCUUAGUGGCGAACGGGUGAGUAACGCGUAAUCAACCUGCCCUUCAGAGGGGGACAACAGUUGGAAACGACUGCUAAUACCGCAUACGAUCUAAUCUCGGCAUCGAGGAUAGAUGAAAGGUGGCCUCUACAUGUAAGCUAUCACUGAAGGAGGGGAUUGCGUCUGAUUAGCUAGUUGGAGGGGUAACGGCCCACCAAGGCGAUGAUCAGUAGCCGGUCUGAGAGGAUGAACGGCCACAUUGGGACUGAGACACGGCCCAGACUCCUACGGGAGGCAGCAGUGGGGAAUCUUCCGCAAUGGACGAAAGUCUGACGGAGCAACGCCGCGUGAGCGAUGACGGCCUUCGGGUUGUAAAGCUCUGUUAAUCGGGACGAAAGGCCUUCUUGCGAAUAGUGAGAAGGAUUGACGGUACCGGAAUAGAAAGCCACGGCUAACUACGUG